AUUUACAUUUCCUUCGUUUUUACCUAAUGUCCUUUUUCUGUCCCAGGAUUCCAUCCAAGGUGCCACGUUACACUUAAACAUCAUGCCUCCAUCCUUUCUUCCUGGUCUGAGAGAGUUGCUCAGACUCUCCUGGUUUUUGAUGAUCUUGAGAGUUUUGAGUAUUCAUCAUCAGGCUGGCACCCAGCACUGUGCUAUCCUAGGAAGAAACAGCUAAAUCCCAAUGAAAGGUAAGGAUUUUUGUCAGAAAGAUUAGCUUAAAUCAACAGGGUAUAAUUUAACUGGCUGGCUUGUAAAAACCCAGGAAAAGGUUUUGUG
rnacentral:lncRNA from 1 species